GUGAAGGGAAAGUGUGGACCCAGGGGAACUGAUGUUCCCUUGGAGAGUUCAUCAAUGAGCUUGACGCCUUGAUAAGUUCCUUUCCUGAGGAUGGCUCACCUCUCACAGUUCUGGACCAUUUCCGGAGACCUUCUCCCCUACCUCACCUCGCUCAUCAACGCAUCCUUGACCGCUGGCUACGUCCCUUCCGUCUUCAAGAGAGCGAGAGUUGCACCCCUUCUGAAAAAAACCUACACUCGAUCCCUCCGAUGUCAACAACUACAGACCAGUAUCCUUUCUUUCCUUUCUCUCCAAAACUCUUGAACGCGCCG
rnacentral:lncRNA from 1 species